UGGAUGUGGGUAUGGAUGUUCAUUAUGGGUUAAGGGAGUAUUAUAAAAUAAUAGAAAAAAAUACAGUGGAUGAAUGACAGACUGUGGAAUAGGGGAAAAAAAGGGUGUAAAUGACAUAAAUCACAAAGUAAAGUCAGUUUGCAGGAAGGAUGGUAUGGAGGGAAUAGACAGGAGGAAGUUAACCUAAUAAUGCUGUUUAUAGGACAUUCAACUUUAAAUGAACAUUAAUACAGAAUUGGAGCACAUGACAAUGGGUUAUGUAUGAGAUGUGGGGUUAUGGAAACUGUGGAACACCUGAUGGUUGAAUGUGCUAGAUAAAGGGAAGUGAGAUUAGAGGUAGGGGAAGAGUUGAGGGCUUUGAAUAUUCAGAAUCAUUUUUUUAGGGAUGGUAUAGGGGAUUGUAAUAGAAUAGAUAGGGCUAUGGUCAGGUAUAUAAGGAAAUUCAUUAGGAAAAUGGAGAUUUAACCAGUCUGAAAAAAACAAACAAAUCAGAAAUCAAAAGUGUUGGGCUCACAAUAACAAUAAUCAAAACUAACAGUAGGUGGCGACAAUAAGCUUUGGACGAAGCUUGGUGGCCAUUAACCUAAAAGAAGAAGGAGGAGGAAAAGAGUUUACUCCUUUGUCUGCUGUGUCCUGGGUUGCAGAGUUUGUCAAGUUUCCCCCACUUGUUACGAGGACUGAGUAAAAUUCCAAUUGACUAAAAAACAAAACAACUAAACUCCCUGCAAGAAGAUAUCUUCAGCCAGCUUUCGGAUAGCGGUUAGAGUGACCGGCAAAGCUCUAAGUUCCUCUGAGUUUAAGUUUUCAACAUCCAAGCUGAGGAGAAGGUAAACAGACAGCCCUUGUUUUAUCCCCUGCUGUGUUGGCACUGAACUCUGCUGGGAAAAACCAAAAAAAAGACGUGAAGGACUGCUGUGCUUUGGGGCACUCCAGGGCUUUGAGCAUCUCAGGGGGCAGCCUCUCAACAGACACUCUGGGGGAAGCUGGCUCCAUUCUGGGCUGCUUGUCUCUGAGAGGAUCUGGGGGUCCCACUAGACUGCUGGAGCGAGACC